CUAAUUCAUACGAAACGUUUUAUUGGCGUGACUGUGCUUUUAAGAAAACAAAAAGAAAAAAGAAACAAUACUAAGGCUUUCGCGGAAAGAUGUCAUUGACAGCGUUUGUCGUAAUGGGUUUUAUGAUUGUUGGACAUUUGAGCAGUAGAGCAACGAGAUUUGGCUCAAGAAAAAGGGAUUUGUUAGAUGGCGGAUACCAUUAUGGCUCUGACACAGGCAAUGAAUGUCAACAGGAAUGUGUCGGCUUUGACAUUAUCGGGUGUGACCGCUUCUGCUACCAGCAAUACAGGGAGGAGUAUGAAUAUGAUAUUCUGUUUGCCGCAUGUAUUGACGACUGUGCGAAUGUUUAUAUGUACUGCAAGUACGAUCUGGGAUGUGACAUGGAUGAAGGCAACCAGUAGGGUAAUGUGUAACUUAAGGCAUGAUAUUAUUAUUUUCUGAACGCGUGUGAAAUAAUAUACAGUGAUGCUGUUGCUACUUCACCAUCAAAUAAUAUUAACACUAAAAAGCACAGAACAACAAAAGAAAUAAAAGCAUUUCUCUUUUA
rnacentral:lncRNA from 1 species